AAGCUUUAUAAGAACGACUUACCACGGCUCUCACCCGUGAUGCUCAUGUUUGGCCCGAUUUCCUUACCACGAGUCUCACACGAUAUUGUAGGCGAAAGAGUAUAUUUUAUAUGAAGG